CACUCUCAUCGCCUUCAACUCCCUCCAUUUCGACCUCCAAACAUUAAGAAACCGCAUAGCAAUGCGAACAGAAAAAGUACUUCCUUCUCUGUCCUGCCUUUCGAUCUUUCUCCCCCUCCAAUCGAUGAGGACCUCCUUGUGAGUCUUUUUCCUCUAUUUAGUCCAAUUUGUUGUUUUACUACCCAAGUUCAUUGCUGAAAUUCUUUAUGCUGAUUUGAUUCUGGGGUUACGAAGUGAACUGAGAUGUAUUUUUAAUUCAUGAAUUGAAGACAGAUGCAUUCAUUUACGAAAGAGGGAACAAAGGACAUAAAGUGUGCUGGUAGGCUUGAUUUAAGAGAAAUGAUUUUUUUAUUCUUGUUUGGUGAGAACUUGCAUUGUAUUACUUUUGGAGAUUGAGAACGGUCCCUCACCCGAGAUUACAGUGGGUUGAGAUUUGGGGUAUGUGUUUUCAGUUAUGGAGUUGGGGUCCACUGAAAGAAGGUUAAAGAAGGGUUUUGGAAUAAGAAGAAAGGGGUGGAUAUUUUAUGGUUAAAUCACCAAUAAGAGGAGAGGGGCGCUCUAGAACACGCCAUUACUGGUUCUUCAUUUCUUUGUGCACUUUACUUUCUGUUUUGAUAUCAUGGCUUGUUUAGUUGCAUCGUAAUGGUUGAAGACUUUCGUUAAAUUCCAAUAUAAUUUAGUAUCAGGAAGUUGUUCCCCUGUUUUUGAGCUAUCUUGCUUGUUGGGACCUAACAAUGUCCUAUUAGAGAAGUUUCUUGUUCUGUUACUCACUUAGCUUGGGAUUUUUCUACCCUAUUUUUUAAUUUCAUAGAUCAAUAAAACUGUUCCUUGACUAGAAAAAGAAAAGAUAUAUAUUGCAAAUGAGUUGAUGUUUUCAUAUUUUGUUGUUAAUUGUUAGGUCGUGGAUCUUUCUGUCUACUUGUCUUUUUUCAUGUUCUAUUACUUUUGAGUCCACUCUUAAUAGAAUGCUUAUAAAAGUUUUCCCACCCUUCUUUAAAGCAUUCCACAUAUAAUAAUUGAGAUUCAUGGCUGCUUCAUGGUGUAUUUCUAGGCCUCCAAUAUUGCUGAAAUACUCAUGCAGGGUUUAAAAGUGGAACUCGGCGUGAAAGUUAGUUAGUUAGUUAGCAUUGGGUGGAUCACAAAGAGAACGCGUGGGAGUGAGUGUGGUCAAUAUAUAUAAUAACAUGUUGUGUGUUGGGAAAUUUACCGUUUUUUCGUGUAGAAAAGUAGUUGUGAGAGUGUGACACACGCAAGUAUACUCAUCGUGUUUAGAAUGUUCAGUAUACUAAAACGGUCAAGAGAAAAAACUCAAUCGGCAUCCUUGACGUUGGUUUGGUUGAGAGAAAAUGUGGGGGAAGAUAGUGGCCUUCCUCCUCAUUGCUUUUCUCAUCUUCUUUCCUUUUUCUGAAUCCUUCUGAUAUUCAUCCAAAGGCAUCGAACGCCCUUGCUGGCAUUCAAUCUAAGAAAAACUUAGCUGUAUCUGAGCAAGUUGUCUGAGAGUGCUCGGAUGACAAGGUUUGUUCGGAAGCCAGUAGAGAUGAAGAACUGGAAUGCCCUUACGGUACUUUGUGCAGGGAAUUUUCUUGUCAGCAAGGAACCUCCUCAUUGUCCAAUUUUGCUUGACUUUGAGCUUAGCAAGAAGUUAGCAACCACCAUGGAACAACCACUGGCAAAGACGUUUUUAGCCACUGCAGAGACAAAGAUGUUGCCUUUUUAUAGACAACAAACAUGAACUAUGAUUUGGGAGAUUUAUUUAAUUAGUUUCCUCGAUAGAAAUACUGUGAAUCCAUAAACAAAACAGUCAAAAGGAAAACGCGGACAGUGAUGGUUGGAAAUGUUGCCCUUGGUAGUGAGCAUCCGAUUAAGAUUCAAACCAUGACGACAACUAACACAAAGAUGUUGCUGGAACAGUUGAACAGGAUGGUUUGGGUGACACUAUUAGAGUUUCGCUUACAGAACCACCAGAGAAGGAGAUAGAUCCUUGUCGAAGGCUCACAACCCUUGGUAUGAAUUAUGCUACCAGGCAAGUGAUUGAUGUGGUUAGUGACAAGACUUGUUGUAGUUUCAUUAUUUACGACAAUGCUCAUUGUUGUAUUUAGUUUCUUUGUAAAAAUAUAUUACCAAGAUUUAGUUUCUACUUUGCUUGAAUUUGUCCCUUUAAGGAAGUUCGAUAGAUUUCGUGUACUUAGUUUCUUUGUAAAAACAUUAUCUAUGUUAUUGUUAUAUAUGAAAGUUCUUAUUUA